CUAGGGGCAGGGGGAGUUAUUAUUUGUAUGGCUACGGGAGCAGCGCCGCCCAGGGUCAGGGGCAAGUGGGGUAGUUUGCCCCGGCGGCGGGGGGCCCCUCAGUGCUGGCGAAGACGCGGGCCGCCCCCGGGACUUGAAUCCUACAUCACUUUUUAGAAAAACCUCUUGAAAUUCUACCAGUAAAGUGGUUAGAGAUACAGGGGAGUUCUCUGCCCUGUGUAACAAAGCUUUCCUGCUGGUACUAUACUGAUGGUUUAUUUACAUUACUACUAUCACCAUCCUCUCUCCCUCCACGUGCACAACAACAGAAGGCCUUCCUGUGAGUCAGGCUAGGAGGAAUGAAGGUUUGGAGUCUUACAGUGACGUGAUCACGUCACCUGAACUGGAAUCCAUCUUUAACAUGGAGCUUUAUACAGGGAAUUUUUUCAGCAAACCUAGCAAGCGCAGCAAAGGUUCUUGGACCAGGAUAUAUUCAUUAACUAGGAGGAAUGAGCUGUGGAAUAAUUCCAGCAACAGAGAUGAGAUCCAGGUGACUGCAGGCUUGAGGUUCCAGAAGCAACCUGUGUAAGGGAGGGACUGCACCAUUCAAUGGACACCCUCAAGUGAGAACCAUUCUAACACCACUUCUGGCUGCCCGUAUGCUCCUGACUUCAUCCAUGACAAGCUUUCCAGCUCCUUCCAGCAGCUGCUCAAUCAUCCAGCACCCCAGCAAUGAGCCCACUUGCUUUGCUUCUUGCCAUAAAUGUUAUAUAAAAAAUCCUCCCAGUUGGUCUCUGUAGUGAUAUUCUUAAAUUAAAGGAAGAUAAAGUGGUAACUAAGCUGCUUUUUUAUUAUCCCAGUUACUGGAAGAGAAUUUUGGAAAAUUCUUAUAAUUGUUAUAUUUGUAUUAUAGUUAUGUCCAGAUUAGGACUCCAUUAUGCCAGACACUAUAUAUAUGCAUAUUGAGGGAGUGUCUCUGCCUCCAAAGAACUUACAGUGUAAAUAGACAGGACAGGAAAAAGGAGGGAAAUACUAUUUCCCCAAAUUUACAGAUGGGGAACUGAGUCACAGAGAGAUUAAAUGACUGGACUAAUGUCAAACAGUCAAUCUGUGGCAGAGCUGUGAACUGAACCCAGAUCUCCUAAAUCUCAGUUCCAGGCCAAUGUCAUAAUCACAUGAUCGUCUUUACUCUCUCUAUACAACUAUUAAUAUGAAGAUCACUUCUCAGGAAAAGCAGUUGAAGCACAAAUUGUUAAUGUUUUUUGACCUAUCCUUAUAAAAAUGGAAAUCAUAGGUCAUUUUUCACUGUAGAAUGUUGAUUAGCAGAUCUUCAGGUAUAGUGUGAUUCAGUAGGAAGUUAGUAAAUUGUGUCUCUGUCCUAAGUUAAAAUGUAAUUUUUUCUUCCAUUAAAUGAACUGUGAUACAUCUACACUGCUGUAUCCAUCAAAGAAUAAUGUUGAUAAUGUUGAUAAUGUUUUAUAGGAUGUUAAUUACAUGCGUCUUCCUGUCACUGACUUGAUAAAGAAAUAUCCUUUCUAGCUUA